AAAUCCUUUUGAGGUUGAUACCGUGCUGUAAUAGACCAACACAGAAAGGGCAAGUAAGUCUCCAUAAGACCCAGGGAAGAGAUUAUAAAAAGCUCCUCUUUGGAUCCUGGAUGCAGUCAAGAGG